GUGUGUGUGUGUGUGUGUGUGUGUGUGUGUGUAGAAUAGUGUGUGGGAAAUCAAGGCUGUGUCUGCGCACAUGCAGUGAAGACGAUAUGUGUGUCUCUGCAUGGGUGUCUGGAGGGCAGCGGGUGCACUGUGACCUUUAUGGGUCGGCGUGUGUGUGUGUGUGUGUGUGUUUGCAUGCCCCCAGACUGGUAAGAGGAUAUGUCUUGAAGAGUUAGGGCCCUCCUCUGUCUGUCUGCACCCCGCCUGUCCUUUCCUCUCUCCUAGCUUCCCGUAUCCGUUCACAGCCUUCUCUGUUUUUCUCUGCCUCCCCCUUUUCCUGUCCCCCUUUCUUCCUGCCAACCAUAAACUUGUAAAUCGGUGUCACUCAAAACCGGAAAUACAUCAGUUUGAGACCUCAACCCCCUCUCGCCCCCUUCUCUCUCUGUUUUGGGGGGCAGGGUCAGUGUCGGUGAUGUAAUUGAUUUUCUCUGUUUCCUUUGUUAGACUAGUGUUAGAUGUCACUCUGGAAGCCGUCUAUACUGCACUGAUAACUGAGGUUAUGGUACAUGUAGAUUGUACAUGCUGCAGGGUGAGGGAGAAGGUCACAAGUCACAAAUGAAGUGGGAGACUUGGCCGAUUACUUGCUUAUUGAAUUAUAAGUUGCACAGUGUGAACUCAUCUCUUGUCAAGUGGUCAACAACAAGUCAGUCGUCUUCGUCCUUCUGUCAUCGUUGGAUAGAAACAUAAAUACUCUGACAAUAAAUACAUUCAUGCGGUGUAAAAAAGGGGAGUUGAGAAUGCUUUAAUAAGACAUUAAAAACUCCUACACGCAUCAGCUGUUGGCCAUAGGCCGACAUUGGUGGGUGGUUUUAAUAUACUGGAACAGUGUUAAAUCCCAAACUGGAGUCCUCGCCCUCCCACUGCUGCUAAAUAUUCUAUAUGGAAAAAUUGUUCUAGUAUUCUAAUAAUUACAGAACUAGAGUUUACUAGUUAUAGGCUCAAACCAACUCAUCAGUCUUUUAUUCCACGUUUGGAGCUGGAGCUUUAGGACAGGGGACUGAGCACGCGUUGUGUUUGCCAUAUGGCGGCUGUAUUAGCCCACAAUGUAAACACAGCUGGUUGCCUCCCGUGGCUACACGGGUGAACAGCAGUCUUCCUGCAGACACCAAAAGCCCCCACUAGUACAUUAACAUGGCUGUUAGACACGUUGGGAAUAACGAUGUUGCAGCCCGAUAUAGCCAGACUGUCAGAGGUGAUUAUUGAGUAUCUUAGCGCCUGCUCGCCCUACAGGCCGCUGUGAUUCGUUGUUUAAUUGUCACCUGACCAUGGAAGAUAAAAAUCUAUUCCUUCUAAUGAAAAGACAAAUGAAAUAGUCCUUUUCACACAGUAUAUGUGCAGGUAUUGCAAUGUGUUACUUGAUAUAUGGUUGGCCAAUGAAGAUAUUUAUCAAGGAGCAAUGCGUAUGGUCGCCCGAACCAGAGACACAACGUGGCAGAUAAAACCAAGAGGAGAGGACAGGAACUGAACAUUGCAGAUCAUAAAUAAAAUGUCAGAAACACUGGUGCCUGCUAGCCAGUGCUCAUGGUAGCGUGAAAUCUGCUCCCACCCCUUCCCUUCUUAUCUUCCCCCCCUAUCACACUCCUUCGCUCGCUCUCUGUGCAUGUGUGUGCGCGCACAGAGUAAUUGAGGUGUGUGACCUUGCUGUAGGCUUGCCAGGUGUGAAGGGAAGGAUGGAGAAAGCAGGGGAUGAGUUGAAUGGGGAGGGGGGGCAUGAAGGGAAGGAAAGAUGGAUGCUGUUAUACAUUGGCAGACUGAUAACCCGCCUGCAUGCAUAUAUAUGUAUGCAAAUGUUUGACAUUCUGUUGUGAAAUAAAUACUACUGAUGCUGUGUGUGGGUGGAAGCACUUUGUGCUGCUGUAAAGUCCUCUGCAUGCAACCUGGAAUUGGGCUAGUGUGUUUGUGGAGGGGGUUGGUAUGGGCGCGCGUGUGUGUUAUCAAGCAGACCGAUGACAUACAUCAUUUACUAAUAUGCCACAAUGUGUGCGUCUAAAUCUAUUCCACCUUAAAGUUUAAGUUUGUAAGCGCAUUACAUAAACAUCCCUGUCAAGUUGUCGUAUCAUGGUACAUUCCAUAAACCGCUGAGAUGAUGGUGGAGAUGACUGACAGCUGCAUCACACUUUUCUGUAUAUAUUACCGGUAUUUAUUUUUCCUUUAUGUUCACGGUCAUUUUAUUCCUCGGACAAUUUGAAACCGAAAGCUUCCCGCUGUCAGCGUCAUCACAGUGGUCUAAAAGCUGCUGGGUGAACCCGCUGCAGGCCGCACCGCUGAUCUAAAAACAUUAACUGCUGCAAAGUAUUUUUGCUGAUGCAUGUUGAAUGUAAUGAAUCAAGUGCAGAGGAGGAAAUGAAACCGCCCUCAGAAAAUAACUUCAGCCCUUUCUUCUACCGCUCACACCAUUCGGUCGCUCCCUUUUUGACCUAAUAGUCCUAAAUAAGUACUUCCUUAUUUUAUGAUUGAAGUAUCAUCGCUGUGUGUGAUUGAACAUUCAUGACUGCAAACCCCUCCAUGACACCUCAACCAGGCCGCUCUUGAUUUAGACCUCAGGCGCUGCAGACAAAAUGCAAGUGACGUGACAGAAGUAGAUAGAGUUGCAUUAAUCUGAUCAACAGUCCCUCCUUACAGUGGACAAAUCAGUGAACAUGUCCUGCUAUUCAACGCAUGUGCACUGUCGAUUUUACAAAUAAAGGAGCCCAAUUUUAUUUUUAAAACGUUCAAAUGAUGAAACCGUAACAAGAGAGGGAGCCUGCGCUCAAAAUCGUGUAGCAAUGCAGACCAUCAGGAACAGUUUUGAGGAUUUUACUGAGCCUCAAAAUGUUCAGGUAGGAGGUUUUAGAGUUGGUAGGUUUUUAGGCACGAUCAGUUGACACAAUUGAAUUUUAGCGUCACCUUUGGCAUUUAUAACCGUCUUCAUGAUCUGCCGCUAUUUUUUCUCAUUAUUUAGUUUGGCAAAUGACCAGCUGCAACAUUUUGCACAAGGUUAACAGUAAUUACAAUACCGUUGUUGUAAACACGAUGAAUUGGGGUUGCAUGCAUUUUUUUUAACACGAAGAGAUGUUUUCAUCUUCACAUUGAGUCCAACAUAAGACUAGCGUGGAAACAGUGGUGCGCUCUCUCUCUCUGGCCCAUCCCCCCUCUUCCAUCCUCUAAAGCCGACUCUCCCCUGCCCUCUGCACAGUGCAUCUGUGUCAUGUCACUGGGUUCUGGCGUCCCGAAGUAACCCACCACCCUCCCAUACCAGUGCAAUCUCUCUCGCUCCAUCGCUCUCUCUCUGUCCUUGUGUGCUUGUGUCUUACACUGUCAUCCCUGAUCUCUUCAUCUUCCCUUCCUCCCCCUCUCCUAAAGGAGUCACCUUCUCCUUCUCGAUACCUAUUGUGUGUCACUCAUUUAAUAUCUCCCGCACGUCCUUCUCACCACAGUAGCACAAACGCACGUCAUUGCUCUCUCACUGUCCUCAUGAAACGUAGACAGACGUAAAACUGUCUUGGGGCAGACAUUAAUGGAUCCAUGCCCCUUAGCUGGCUGCUGCAUGCAUAAUCUAUCUGCUCAUACAGAACGUGAACAUUGCACUUAUCAAGCUGUGUGUGUGUGUGUGUGUGCUCCUCCCUCUAGAGAAAGAGACAGACAGGUGUGGACCAGAUUGAGUUCCACCUCAUUUCCUCUGCCCUUGCAGCUGGUCAAGGACACACAAACACACACACAGGCAUGUCCUGGGCACAUGGUUAUGUACUCAGGCACACACCCACACACACUUCAAAUGCAAGGCCAGUGACAUGCACACUGCACACACCUCCAAUGCAGACACGCUGCAUGAUGUAAAAGGCUCAAAUGCAACAUUAGUACAAACCGGCGUGUGUGUGUCAUGAAGCCUCCCAACACAUAAAACAGGACAGGAUUACAGGAAUGAAUACAACUUGAAAGAUUUGCAAAUUGUAUUACUCCAGCCCCAGUAUGAUGUCUUUUAAAGCCUUACCGCUGCAUAUUCAUGCUGUACCCCCCCCCCAGACACACACACACACACAUAUAUAUUGUUACAAUAUAGCUGUGUUUGGUCAUUCAUAUUUGACGUGACAGCCGCUCACAUUGUCCGUCCAUUUUUCAUGCUGGUAUGAAAUGUAUAAACAUCAGAAGAACAUUAGGAUUAGG
ensembl:lncRNA